GCUGGGCAUGGUGACACAUGCAUGUAAUCCCAGUGACUUGGAGGCUGAGGCAGGAGGAUUGCAAGUUCAAAGCCAGCCUCAGCAAUUUAGCAAAGGCCUGUCUCAA
rnacentral:sRNA from 1 species